CCCUACAAUCCCCAACCUUUUUGGGCCUGAAAAACCCUUGUGCCAAAGAAGGCCUUAAGGGACAAAUAACACCCCCCACCAUGUCUAAAAGUAGAGACUUAAUCCCCUCAACUAUGGAAAACCACACAAAUCACCCCUUAACCCCAUAUGGAGUAGUUUGGGAGGGUUGUUUUGCCUACGUGGCGACUGGGACGAGCUCACCGACCGGCCACGUCAGAUAGGGGCGGGUUUGGUGGGAUCUAAAUGAACCCCUUGAAUUGGUUCAGCCCAGUUUCCCAAAUCAAUUCUGCCCUGCCCCUUCACCUCCCUUCUCCUUCCAACGUUGGCAGCGACGAGGUCUAGCAACGAGCCAUCAGCGACAUGAACUAAGCAUCAGUCUGCGGCGCAACAACAGGUUAGUCACAUCGAUAUGGAGACCCAUAUGUACUAACUGAAAUCCUUCAUUUCUUCUUUUAUCUUAGGUUGGAGUUUAUGGGGUUUGGGGGGAAGGGGAAUUCAAAAUCAUCUAGGAUUUUUGCUUUUUCUUGUUGCGGCAUAUGUAGUGGUUGAUUGUAUUUGAGGUAUGGAUCCUUUGGAGGAACAUCUGCAUCAUUUGGAGGAGGAACAACACAGAGAGGAGCAACUGCAACAUGUACAACAUGGAGAUGACUAGCAACCAAAUGCAGAAGGACAACACAGAUUUUAGAGAAAGAUUGGCAUCAUACUGCAAAUGCAGAGGAACAACACAAUAAUCCAAAUGUAGAUGAACAUAUAUUAGAACGAGAAGCUUGGCAAUACUCCAAUAUGUAUUACCAACUUAGCAGUACCAAUGCUAACUUGCUAGUGAAGAUAGGUAACAUCCAAAUGUAGGACAAAGGAAAAUCACAUUUAGAUGAGGAUGAAGAAGUAUAGAGUUAAAGUGAUGGCUCAUCUGACAGUGACUAUGCUAUUCCCCUUGUAGAGAGCAAUAGCUUAGCAUCUGAUGAUGAAGUGAUAGAGUUGAGAAAAUAUGCUAAACAACUGUGGGACAAAGUCACAAAGAACAUGUUGAGAGAAGAGGAGGACAAGCCAUGCAAUGUA